rnacentral:lncRNA from 1 species
ACUCGUUUGAUGAGAUCGAAACCCAAACAGCGGCAUCAUGACAAGUGUAUUAGGAGGAGAUCCGUAGUCCCAACCCCCCGCCUGGUGCCGAUUUUUAGAUGGGACACGUUAUACGUGCGGACUUAAGAUCGGGACAUGAGACGGGCAUGUGAGCAAAUAUCUGCCAGAUACAUCGACCCAACUGUCGCGAAGCUAUCUAAGACACUUGUUUGCUCUGCUGACGCACCAUUAGAUCGAACUUUCAUUUGCGGGGCCCAUAAAUUUGGCAAUGUGAUGUGCGUCUCAAGAAAAAAGUCGAAGAUACAAUGAGAUAUCUGUGUACAAAGUACGCGACGUGGUGGUAAUAAUAAUAAUAGUUGCAAGAAAUUCCAGUUAUUGUCUUUAAAACAAACAACACAAUCGCCAUAUAGCGACAAUAGAUGGGAUCCCAAACGAAUUCCAUUGGAGCAGCCAGGCAUGAACUAUGCAUAACUAAGAAUUUCAAUCGACACCUGCUGACUGGGCGGCAGCCGAGAACAUUUCUAAUUGUGCCCCUUUGGAUGGAUGAAAGUGAAAGUGCCCUAAUGUCAAGAGCACUGCACUCCACUCUAAUCUCGGCCAGGAAUUUCCAGAUAGUUUGAUAGAUCGUUAAGCGCGAAGUUCCGUGGCAUCCACGAGUACGGCAAGUGAUCGCUUAACCAGUUUUUAAGCUACGCCACUCUGAGCUCUUUUUUUU